rnacentral:rRNA from 1 species
AUUGAACGCUGGCGGCAGGCCUAACACAUGCAAGUCGAACGAGUGGCGGACGGGUGAGUAAUGUCUGGGAAACUGCCCGAUGGAGGGGGAUAACUACUGGAAACGGUAGCUAAUACCGCAUACCAUCGGAUGUGCCCAGAUGGGAUUAGCUAGUGGGUGGGGUAACGGCGCACCUAGGCGACGAUCCCUAGCUGGUCUGAGUGGAUGACCCGCCACACUGGAACUGAGACACGGUCCAGACGCCUACGGGAGGCAGCAGUGGGGAAUAUUGCACAAUGGGCGCAAGCCUGAGGCAGCCAUGCCGCGUGUAUGAAGAAGGCCUUCGGGUUGUAAAGUACUGUCAGCGGGGAGGCGUUACUCGCAGAAGAAGCACCGGCUAACGCCGGGCCAGCCGCCGCGGUAAUUC